AACGAACGCUGGCGGCAGGCCUAACACAUGCAAGUCGAGCGCACCUUCGGGUGAGCGGCGGACGGGUUAGUAACGCGUGGGAACGUGCCCUUCUCUACGGAAUAGCCUCUGGAAACGGAGAGUAAUACCGUAUACGCCCUUUGGGGGAAAGAUUUAUCGGAGAAGGAUCGGCCCGCGUUAGAUUAGGUAGUUGGUGGGGUAACGGCCUACUAAGCCUACGAUCUAUAGCUGGUUUUAGAGGAUGAUCAGCAACACUGGGACUGAGACACGGCCCAGACUCCUACGGGAGGCAGCAGUGGGGAAUCUUAGACAAUGGGGGCAACCCUGAUCUAGCCAUGCCGCGUGAGUGAUGAAGGCCUUAGGGUCGUAAAGCUCUUUCGCCUGUGAUGAUAAUGACAGUAGCAGGUAAAGAAACCCCGGCUAACUCCGUG
rnacentral:rRNA from 1 species